AGAGUUUGAUCCUGGCUCAGGAUGAACGCUAGCGGCAGGCUUAACACAUGCAAGUCGAGGGGCAGCAUAAUGGAUAGCAAUAUCUAUGGUGGCGACCGGCGCACGGGUGCGUAACGCGUAUGCAACCUACCUUUAACAGGGGGAUAACACUGAGAAAUUGGUACUAAUACCCCAUAAUAUCAUAGAAGGCAUCUUUUAUGGUUGAAAAUUCCGAUGGUUAGAGAUGGGCAUGCGUUGUAUUAGCUAGUUGGUGGGGUAACGGCUCACCAAGGCGACGAUACAUAGGGGGACUGAGAGGUUAACCCCCCACACUGGUACUGAGACACGGACCAGACUCCUACGGGAGGCAGCAGUGAGGAAUAUUGGUCAAUGGACGCAAGUCUGAACCAGCCAUGCCGCGUGCAGGAUGACGGCUCUAUGAGUUGUAAACUGCUUUUGUACGAGGGUAAACGCAGAUACGUGUAUCUGUCUGAAAGUAUCGUACGAAUAAGGAUCGGCUAACUCCGUGCCAGCAGCCGCGGUAAUACGGAGGAUUCAAGCGUUAUCCGGAUUUAUUGGGUUUAAAGGGUGCGUAGGCGGUUUGAUAAGUUAGAGGUGAAAUUUCGGGGCUCAACCCUGAACGUGCCUCUAAUACUGUUGAGCUAGAGAGUAGUUGCGGUAGGCGGAAUGUAUGGUGUAGCGGUGAAAUGCUUAGAGAUCAUACAGAACACCGAUUGCGAAGGCAGCUUACCAAACUAUAUCUGACGUUGAGGCACGAAAGCGUGGGGAGCAAACAGGAUUAGAUACCCUGGUAGUCCACGCAGUAAACGAUGAUAACUCGUUGUCGGCGAUACACAGUCGGUGACUAAGCGAAAGCGAUAAGUUAUCCACCUGGGGAGUACGUUCGCAAGAAUGAAACUCAAAGGAAUUGACGGGGGCCCGCACAAGCGGAGGAACAUGUGGUUUAAUU
rnacentral:rRNA from 1 species